rnacentral:rRNA from 1 species
UACGUAGGGUGCAAGCGUUAAUCGGAAUUACUGGGCGUAAAGCGUGCACAGGCGGUGAUGUAAGACAGGUGUGAAAUCCCCGGGCUUAACCUGGGAACUGCAUUUGUGACUGCAUCGCUGGAGUGCGGCAGAGGAGGAUGGAAUUCCGCGUGUAGCAGAGAAAUGCGUAGAUAUGCGGAGGAACACCGAUGGCGAAGGCAAUCCCCUGGGCCUGCACUGACGCUCAUGCACGAAAGCGUGGGGAGCAAACAGG